UGGCGCUUUUUGCAAAUGAGGUAAACGAAGAUAAUGGCCUAUGUUGAAACGGCUGAAAAAGAAAGGUUUUCACUUCUGCUUUUGGAGCCAGGAGAAAUUUACUUUGAAGAUUUCAGUGUUUAUUACUAUAACGAAAAGCUAGCAGAACCAGAAGCUAUAAAAAGGAAGCAAAAAGGAAGGCUUAAAGUUUGCUCCAAGUCUAUUUUGUUUGAUCCACAAGACAUAACUCUUCCAAUUUUAAAA